GCGUGGAAGGUUCGGGGAGUCAGACCCGAGAGAUGUCCCCGUACCUUGACGAGGGCGCCCGGAGACGCUUGGAGGAAGCAGCCCAGACUCUGCCGGGAGGGUUCAGGGUGUGGGCGGAGUCCGGACCCUUGGGUGACCAAGACCCUUGGGUUUCCAACAAAGGCCGCUGCGUGGGCGCCGAAAUUACUAGUGAGCACUGGGGAGGACGUUUUCAGUUAAAGCCCGAGCAUUGUCAUCUUUUUUACUCACGGGGCACUGGUGUGUGGUCCUGCUGUUUGAUUGGGCGUGGACUCUCAGAGCUCCACCGAGUUUUAGAAAUCGGAUCCGAUGGUGAAGAGGAGAGGAACUUCUCUUUCAGUCGCUGCCGGCUGAAGGAGGAUUUGCCUGCACCGAGGCCUUUCGGAAGCUCAGAGACUUCAGUGCUUCUGGGGCUUUCGCUGCCUUCCCAGGCCUCCCGCAGAUCUAUGUCACCUCGCCACCCACACUUCACACACCUUGCCACCUUCUACUUGGCUCUGCUCCUGGAGGAUGCUGACGAUGUGGGGCUGCCAGAAACUCGAUGAUCAUGAGUGGACAUCGUAAUGGCCACAAGUUGCUAACAUCUCAGAAAUAAGAGAGUCUGGUGUUGCUUGGGAACCAGAAUUCCUAUGAACAGCCAGAUACCGACUGAGAUCCAAGGCGGCAAAAUAAUAAACGAUUAAGACCUUCCCUCA
ensembl:lncRNA